rnacentral:tRNA from 2 species
GUGCGUGUAGCUCAGCUGGAUAGAGCGUCUGACUACGGAUCAGAAGGUCGGGAGUUCGAAUCUUCUCACGCACG